UUCAAGUCUAAAAUGAAUGGCAAGUCAGCAGCGCAGAGCCUUGCAGCUCUCUGCUCACUCUUGCAGCUACCAAUAGCUAGCGUUCUAGUGCAGAGCUAACUACUAAGUAGAGUAGUAACAUUCGGUGAACAAGUUUUGCUACGGACUCUUCUGAAAAGGCUGCAAUGGCAUUCCAAGUAAGCAAAACUAGGCAUAACUCGAGAAUGAAGCAUUAUUUUGCAAAUCCACGAAUUAAAAUCCAAGUAAACAUGACUAGAAGCCUAUAGAAACUCUUACUUGCACUUGAUUCAUCCUUGAGCAGCUGUAGCGGUCUACACACACAAACACACCGUAUACCCAUAGAUACUAUAAAUUAGUGUAAUUUAUAUUAUUGCUUUUUAAUAAGUGCUGACAUCAGCGUUUUACAUUCAAAUUGCACAGGAAGCGACUCAUCACCGACUGUGCAGAUAUUUUUCCAUAUUGCACACCCAGAAGUAUUAUUGCACUUGUUAUUGCACACUAAGAAGUGAUUCUUAUUUGGAAUAAAACGUUUUCAGCAGUGAAAGAACAAGAAAAACAUAGUUUACACGCUUAUAAUUAUGCAUUGCAAUGUUUAUCAGUCUCUUUUCUUGUUUUCUGAUGCUCUGUAUCACUUCUGUGCUCUUUUUGCAGUGAAGCUGAGGGUCAGGAGGUUGUCAGUGUUCAUAUUUAACGCAUCAAACAGGCAUCAGUGUUGGAAGUGGGUGCUUUGAGCGGAGUAUUGCACAUGUAGAAGUGUACUGCACCACCAUAUAAGCCUGUUCAGGCUUGUAUAAAGUCGUUUUGGCUUCAAAAACGGUUGUCACACUUUUCUUCAGUUAUAGCGGUGCAUGUUUCCUCUUCUGAUACACUGGAGCAUGAUAGAAAGCAAGCACAUGCUGUUUAUCCUUCAGAACUAUCCAUUUUCAAAACGGGUUGCUGGUUGUCAACGUUUUUCUUGUCUUUUUUCUUGUCUGUUCUCUACAAAAUCUUUAAGUAGCCUUCUGCAAGCUCUCUUGGUGUUCUAGAGUCUUAUUUCUUUGUCUUUCUAGCUGUUUUCUUUCUCUUAAACUGUCUUCAACUGGGAGAAAUCAAUUUUGUUGCUACGCAUUCUUCUGGUUGAUAAAGCAACCGCAUGUUGCGCAUGCGCAGAUUCAACCUGCAUUUUGGUUGCCAAGCAAUAAAUGCAUUAUCCCAUGGAUACUGAUGAUUAUCACUCGUCCGUGCCUAGUAACUGUCACUCAUGCCUUGCAGGCACUAGUGCAGUUACUGGCACAGACUCGUGAUAAUCUUCAGUAUCCAUAGGAUAAUAUGAUAGUAUCUAUGGUAUACCUCGCUUGCGCAUGCGCACCGAGGCAUAAAAAGCUAUGGCAGAAGUUGGAACUCGUGAUGAUUUGGCAGCUUACGAGAUGUGGUUGGUUUGGAGGAUGCUACUGAGAGGGGGAGGGGCUCUUUUGGAGCUGUGUAUGAAGUCGAAGUCUAUGGUGUUCCAUGUGUAGCCAAAUGUCUUCACGAUAUCCUCAUAGGUUAUCAACAGCAGUUCAAGGGACCAAUGAAACUAGACAAAGAAGGUGUGGAUGCAAGUUUCGAGACGAGUGCACCCUUCACUGUCAGUUGAGGCACCCGAACAUUGUUCAAUUUCUGGGUAUCCACUAUGGGAUGUAUAGUGGAGAGUUGGCUUUGAUUGUCGAGAGGCUUCAGUGGGAUUUAGGGAAGUUCGUGGAAGCAUAUAAAGAGAUUCCUGAAUCGAUCAAAGUAUCAUUUCUGUUGGACGUGGCAUAUGGUCUUAUGUAUCUUCACAACCGCACACCUUUUGUUAUCCACCAAGAUCUCUCUGCUGGUAAUGUCCUAAUCUCAGGAGAAGGAAAAGCAAAGAUAGCUGAUUUGGGAGCAUCAAAAUUUUUUCUAAUGUCUGCACUUCAAGCACACACUGCUGGCCAACCUGGAGCAUUUGCUUACAUGUCACCCAAAGCUAUUCAACCGAAUCCACAAUAUGACCAGUCAUUUGACAUUUUCUCGUUUGGUGCAGUCAUGCACUCUUUACACGGCUACUCAAAAGUAAAAUUCCCUUUUGCUCACGAAAUAGCACCUUCGGUUAGAGAGGUACAAAAUGGAGAGAUACAAAUUGCUAAGCGAAGAGUGGCUAUUGAACAAGCUCAAAACAGUUGCCUGUUACCUUUAAUUAAAAAUUGUCUCCUCGACAACUCAAAAAGCCGCCCAUCAACUUCUCAACUUUGAAGCAACUGGCAUCACAGAAUCUACGAACAAGUGGAGAUUUUUCGAAGCUACUUGGUGGAGGAAAAGACAAAAGUGCUGAGUUGCUCCUAAUAGCGCAAGAAGAGAUUUCUCAGGAAAUAGCUACUCUUAGCAAAGAAAAAAAUGAUUCAGAAGUGAUCAGUGCGAGUUCUGAAGCCGGGAGACCCCCCGUAGUGGACCCCCUACCAAGAGGAGCACCCGGUAUUUCACCUACGUCAAAACGAGCUCACGAAGGAGUGGUAACCACGGAAACCUAGAGCCUUUACGGUCGGUUUCAGAGUUCAAUGUGGGAGAGCUGAGAAAGGGGGAGGAGUUUCCAUCUGAUAUGAAUGUGUACCAGCAGUUGUUAGAGGACGUGACUACCGAGAGAGAUGAACUGAAGCGGAGUCUGGAACGUGUGUCAAGCGUCUGGAGGCUCUUAAGAGUGUGUGGAUAUACCAUAGCUGUUGAGCAACUAAUUGAUGAAUCUGCUACUAAACAGUCUCAUCAUGAAACGAUUACGAGGCAGUCUACUUCAGAUAGGAGUACUGCUGUGUGCAGUUCAUGUGGAAGCCGCUGACUGAUAUAGUUUAUCCCGAAAUAAUGCUCCUAGCUUCAUUUGAGCCCGGUAGUGUUUCCCUUAAGUUGAACUCUGAUGGAGGUCACUAUGCCUCGUCAACUGUGGCGAUCCCCAAUGGGACUUACGAGGGACAGCUGGUAAUCGAAGACAGCUUCAUCCAACCUGUCAAAAAAUUCACUGUCGACAAUUUCAAUGACAUCAUCGUACUCGAGUUUGAUGUGGAGCAAGGCAAAGAGUCGCCAGCCGACAGUGAUUUGGGAGUUUCCACAUUAGCUCAUUACGGUACUGGCGAUAUGCAAGUUCUGAGCCCCCCACCACCAACAGCCACACAGGCCUCUGGGAGACUCCCGUGGACCCUCCACGAAGAGGCACACACAUCACCAAGUUCUGAACCCGGGAGAAUCCUGUAUACAGUUCUCCUACCAAUAGUAGAUAUAUAGCUUUCUUAUAAUUAUAACUCAACAAGAGAUGUGGGAUCACAAUGGUUACCAAAUCAUUUGCUGUUUGUAGAAACACAUGCAUACUUAUAAUUAAUUAUGUAUGCGCAUGCGCUAGUGAAGAUACGCAAAAUCAAAUCACAAAACCAGCAUGCAGGACACCCUCCCUACCCAUUGCCAUAACGGGGAGCGCUUUUUCUAGCUCCCCAAAAUUCUAUUCCCAAAUUCUCAACACACCAUUAAUUUUCAGACAGUUGCAUGCCCAUUAUUCUUAUUUCCCAAAAUUAAUUAUACUUACAUGUUUAAGAGCAUGCACAGCCAGCGUGAUAGUAUAUGUAGCCUCCUUCGCAGGUCUAUAUAUAGAAGAAGUGCGGCCUGGGAUCGAGGCUAAGCGUAAUACCAGCCAGUUCUCAUUAGUACAUGGAGAGAGAGAACCCAACUGGUAUCACAAGACUAUACACAUGCAAACACGCAGGACACAAAAAAUAAACCACUCUAUAAUAUGAAGCCUCAAUUCAUCUAUAUAUACCGUGCUAGCCUCGUUCCCGGCCCGACUUUUCUCUAAUUGAAUGCUAGUGUAUUAAAAAAAAAUUGGCCUGGGACCGAGGCUACUAUCGUGCAUACAUGCAGCCAUGUGCAAAGGGGUGAAACACCACUCUUGCAUGGGGCCUAAAAUCUUUUUCUGUGCCUCCCUACAAAGCCAUGCAUCAGCAUUCGAUGGUAAAUAAAUUGAAUACAGUAGGAUAAUCCAUUUUGAAGUUUUGCUGAGCUAUUCAAUAAAAACAAAUUCACUAAAUGCUAUUUCAGUUUCUGUAAUUUGGACGUCAUCAAGGUUGUUAACGAUUCAAUAUUUUGUUCAUACUCUCUCUGCAUGGGGAAAAGUAGCCUCGAUUCCAGGCCGCUGAGAAAGGCGGCCUGGUAUACACUGUUUACGCAUGCGCCAGAAUUACCAAGAAUCUUGGUAAUCGUAAAUUGUAGUAUAUUUAUCAGUAUUCUUAUUCCGCAUUUAGUUGUAAAACAUUGAUAUCCGUUUCAUUUAUAAUGAUGUCAUUGAAAAAAGAAAUCUAGUCCAAGUUGUGUAAUGGCUGCUACUUUCUCUUCUGCUCUCGCGUACGCGUUAUCCUGUGUUGGAAAACCAGGUCUAGUCUUGAAAGACAAGCAGCUGGAGGCGUUGAAGUGUCUGUACGCUGGUGUUUAUGUGGGUACCGUACCGACCGGCUAUGGCAAGUCCCAGAGCAAGUCCAUCUGCUUCAAUCCAGACACUCCCUUUCUUAAUUGGUGUGAAGCUUGACAGGACCAGUGCACCUCUCUCUGAAAGAAGUGUUGUGAUGAAAGAAGUGUUGUGAUGGUGAUUUCUCCUCUUGUUUCUCUGAGUGAAGCUAUCUUCAAAGUGUUGGUGUGUCUGUUCGACGUUCAGUGCCAUUCUCUCUGGAAGGAAGUAUUGUUGUGACAUUUGCCCAAAAUUGGUCACAGAGUAAGUACGUGGUAUCUGAUCUGAGAACUGUGUGGCCUGAAUGUGUUUACAAUCCGAGGGACUUGUGUGUAUCCGAUCCGAGGGACUUGUUGCUUGAGUGUAUCCGGACUUGUUGCUUGAGUGUGUAUUAAUGGAUAGUGCUUUCAAUGGUUUAACUAAUUUCUUAUGAGAUUAACUUGUCGCCUGAGUGUGUAUCCGAUCCGAGCCUCAAGUUAAUGAAUAAAUCUACAGAGCUGAUGUUUUACUUAGCUGUCUCUGUCUACAGUAUAUACAGAGAGGUAGCCUCUCCUUUUUCUUUUUUCUGUUCUUAUCACAAUAAGAUAAAAUACUGUUUUAACGUUCAAUGAGAUAAAAUACGGUAAAUAAUAAAUUAAUUGUCCACCCACGCGCCAACAGUAAAUACCAGGCCCACUAUUCAAGGGGCUGGAGUCG